GGGACGAGGGGACAGGGGGAGGCGGGGGGAGGAGAUGGCAGCCCCAGGCUCCCGAAAACGCAGAUGCAUUAGAGCAAGCCGAGCUGCCUGAUUGAUUCUUCGGGCUGAGACGUGGGCUGGGAGUGCCAGGAGAAAAUGGAUCCCAUGAAUAUUUGAUGAACGGAGGCUUGGGGAGGGAGUUUGAUUGGAAAAUUACAGAUCUUUCAAACAAUGGUUCAAGUGCCCUCCAAACACUUGGGUUUCCAGCUCCUUUCCAGUUAGAGGAGCAAGGCUCCACCAGGAAACUCCCCCCACGAUUCAUGAAUGAGAGUGGAGCCGGCUGCUCCCCACCCCCAGGGGCACUGGCUGGCCAGGACAGGCAGUGCUGGCACUGGCCAGGAUGUGGCACCUGUCCCCUGUCACCAGCCAUCCCUGGGUUCCUGUGUGCCAGCAUGGCUGUCCCACAGCAAUGCCAUGAACACAGACACACGAGAUGUUCCAAGGAGCCAGCAGGAAGGUGGAUCAAGGCACGGGCACCCCUGGGAGCCCUGACACCCUACAGGGAGCUCAGUCCUCGGCACCAAGCCCAGGGGCUGGGCCCAACCCAGGAAACCUGUCUGGGGCAGGAUCCACCUGGCUCCUCUCCUUCCUCCAGGCUCAUCCUUGCCCCUGAGAGUGGCUCCUGUCUGGGACCUGGGGGCUGCUUGUCUCAGGAUGCACUGAAGAGAUGCAGGAAUCUGGGUUGUGCCUCAGCCCCAGCCCUGGCGCCUCCACUCAGCCCUGUCCCAGGGCACCUCCUCGGCUUUCCUGGGGCUCCUCCACUGCUGGAAGCCCAGCUCAGCUCCCAGCACAGCUCCCAGCUCAGCUCCCAGCCCAGCUGCAGCCCCAUGAACCCCCACCCCCCUGGGGAAAGGGGAUGUUUCUGGCCAGGAAGCAGGAACACCAACAGCAGCAGCUUCCCAGGAAACCUGCUCCAGUUCCUCCCAGUUCCUCCCAGCAAGGCAGGUCUGGCUGAGAGGCCCUGUCAUGCAGCUGAG
rnacentral:lncRNA from 1 species